rnacentral:rRNA from 1 species
CUUAGUACGGCGAGUGAGCGGCAAAAGCUCAAAUUUGAAAUCUGGUACCUUCGGUGCCCGAGUUGUAAUUUGGAGAGGGCAACUUUGGGGCCGUUCCUUGUCUAUGUUCCUUGGAACAGGACGUCAUAGAGGGUGAGAAUCCCGUGUGGCGAGGAGUGCGGUUCUUUGUAAAGUGCCUUCGAAGAGUCGAGUUGUUUG